CAGGCCUAACACAUGCAAGUCGAACGCUCGUCUUCGGACGGGAGUGGCAGACGGGUGAGUAACGCGUGGGAACGUACCCUCCGGUUCGGGAUACCCAGGGAAACUUGGGCUAAUACCGGAUACGUGCUAUGGCAGAAAGGUUUACUGCCGGAGGAUCGGCCCGCGUCUGAUUAGCUAGUUGGUGGGGUAACGGCCUACCAAGGCUGCGAUCAGUAGCUGGUCUGAGAGGAUGAUCAGCCACACUGGGACUGAGACACGGCCCAGACUCCUACGGGAGGCAGCAGUGGGGAAUAUUGGACAAUGGGCGCAAGCCUGAUCCAGCCAUGCCGCGUGAGUGAUGAAGGCCUUAGGGUUGUAAAGCUCUUUUACCCGGGACGAUAAUGACGGUACCGGGAGAAUAAGCCCCGGCUAACUUCGUGCCAGCAGCCGCGGUAAU
rnacentral:rRNA from 1 species